rnacentral:rRNA from 1 species
UCCCUCAGUAAUGGCGAAUGAACAGGGAUGAGCUCAGUAUGGAAAUUGGGGCCUGUGGCCUUGAAUUGUAGUCUGGAGAUGUACUACCAACUGGGGCGCAGAUGUAAGCCUCUUGGAAAAGAGCAUCAAUGAGGGUGAGAGUCCCGCUUGGCAUCUGCAGUCCCCAGUGCACGGUGUACCUUCUAAGAGUCACGUUCCUCGGGAUUGGAGCGCAAAUUGGGUGGUAAAUUUCAUCUAAAGCUAAAUAUUGUUUCGAGACCGAUAGCAAACAAGUACCAUGAGGGAAAGGUGAAAAGGACUUUGAAAAGAGAGUUAAAAGUGCCUGAAAUUGCUGAAAGGGAAGCGAAUGGAACCAGCGUAACUUGGUGAGAUUGCUGCGUAUCAAUGUGAUUGCUUGCUGCUUCAACGUAAGUGUGGUAGUAAGUCUUGAACAGGACAUGCGUGGUGUUUCUUGCCUUGUGUGUCACUGCCAGUUCACAGCUGGGGAAAACUUCAGGGGCAUGGUAGCUUGUCUCCGGAUGGGUGAACGUGUCUGCUGGAACUCAUUUGUGGACUGAUUGGUGACUAAAUGGUUCCAUCUGACCCGUCUUGAAAC